GAUGAACGCUAGCGGCAGGCCUAAUACAUGCAAGUCGAACGGGAUCCAGAUCAAAGCUUGCUUUGGUUUGGUGAGAGUGGCGUACGGGUGCGUAACGCGUGAGCAACCUACCCUUGUCAGGGGGAUAGCCCGGCGAAAGUCGGAUUAAUACCGCAUGACAUCAUUGAGAGGCAUCUUUCGAUGAUCAAAGAUUUAUCGGACAAGGAUGGGCUCGCGUGACAUUAGCUAGUUGGUAAGGUAACGGCUUACCAAGGCUACGAUGUCUAGGGGCUCUGAGAGGAGAAUCCCCCACACUGGUACUGAGACACGGACCAGACUCCUACGGGAGGCAGCAGUAAGGAAUAUUGGGCAAUGGACGGAAGUCUGAACCAGCCAUGCCGCGUGCAGGAAGACGGCCCUAUGGGUUGUAAACUGCUUUUAUACGGGAACAAACGUCGGUACGUGUACCGGUCUGAGUGUACCGUAAGAAUAAGGAUCGGCUAACUCCGUG
rnacentral:rRNA from 1 species